rnacentral:rRNA from 1 species
ACUCAAAGGAAUUGACGGGGGCCCGCACAAGCGGCGGAGCAUGCGGAUUAAUUCGAUGCAACGCGAAGAACCUUACCAAGGCUUGACAUGUGCCAGACCGCUCCAGAGAUGGGGUUUCCCUUCGGGGCUGGUUCACAGGUGGUGCAUGGUUGUCGUCAGCUCGUGUCGUGAGAUGUUGGGUUAAGUCCCGCAACGAGCGCAACCCUCGUUCCAUGUUGCCAGCACGUAGUGGUGGGGACUCAUGGGAGACUGCCGGGGUCAACUCGGAGGAAGGUGGGGAUGACGUCAAAUCAUCAUGCCCCUUAUGUCUUGGGCUUCACGCAUGCUACAAUGGCCGGUACAAUGGGUUGCGAUACUGUGAGGUGGAGCUAAUCCCUAAAAGCCGGUCUCAGUUCGGAUUGGGGUCUGCAACUCGACCCCAUGAAGUCGGAGUCGCUAGUAAUCGCAGAUCAGCAACGCUGCGGUGAAUACGUUCCCGGGCCUUGUACACACCGCCCGUCAAGUGCACGAAAGUUGGUAACACCCGAAGCCGAUGGCCUAACCACCUUGUG